rnacentral:lncRNA from 1 species
GAGAAGCUGAGAGGCAGAAAGUAUAUGCAUCAGGUAAACAGCCCUGGGACAAAGAACAGACUACGGGUAUUGCCUUCUUAAUCAACAAUAAAGUAUUAGUUGGCUUCCAGGCAGACACCACUGACUUUCAAGAGAAAGGCACGGGAGUAAGGAAGUAAAGAAUUCAGGGCAAACGUCGAGCUUUCCUCUGGGCUCCAAUGUAAAAGAAGUGGAUAGCGGCUGACUAGUGUACAUAUUAUGUAUGCAGACUUUGAAGGAAUCCCCCUUGUUUUUAGCUGUUCUUCCAUUGCUCCUGGAGACUCUGAGCUCAGAGAUUUUCUAGGCUCUGAUGGGCAGAGUGGCUCGUUUCCUCCCUGAAGUUUCCUUCAUGCCACAUUCUGGAUUACAACCUCCUCCAAAGAGUGUCAUCUGUCAAUAUAAUGUCAUCUCUUGAUUUCUCUGUUUUCUUUUCUUCACUAUAAUAGGUGACAUCUGAUUGUAUAAAGGAUAUUUAUUUAUUUGAGAUUUUGUCUCAGAAGCGAGUCCAGAAAGAAAGGAGCUCUGCCUGGGGUUUCCUUUUCUGCCUGUGUGGGUGAUGGUGCUGCUUGAAAAUACAACAAACUGUCUUCAGAAUACUUUUAUGUGUUGUUGAAAGAAAGCACUGCAGCUAAUAUAGCUACAAAGGAGAAACAGUUAUUCUUAAAUGUCAUCUAUUUGCUGGACCUGAACAGGUUAGAAAAAUGAAAAAUACUGAUACAGCAGACGAAUUCUGGAACUAACACUUCCACAAAUCAUUGAUAAUCCAUUUUCCAACUUCUUCAAAUUCCAGACCAUCAACAAGCUAUUCAAAACAAUAAAUGUUAAUAGUUUUGGUGGAGUUAAGCAGCAGAAGUUAAAAGCAUUGUGGAAGACAGUAUGGUGAUUCCUCAAGGAUCUAGAAGCGGAAAUACCAUUUGACCCAGCAAUCCCAUUAUUGGGUAUGUACCCAAAGGAUUAUAAAUCAUUCUACUAUAAAGACACAUGCACACAUAUGCUUAUUGCAGCACUAUUUACAAUAGCAAAGACUUGGAACUAACCCAAAUGUCCAUCAAUGAUAGACUGGAUAAAGAAAAUGUGGUACAUAUACACCAUGUAAUACUAUGCAGCCAUAAAAAGGAAUGAGAUCAUUCCCUUUGCAGCGACAUGGAUGAAGCUGAAAGACAUCAUCCUCAGCAAACUAACACCAGAACAGAAAACCAAACACCACAUAUUCUCAUUUAUAAGUGGGAGUUGAACAUUGAGAA